rnacentral:rRNA from 1 species
UACAGAGGGUGCAAGCGUUAAUCGGAAUCACUGGGCGUAAAGGGCGCGUAGGCGGCCUGAUAAGUAGGGGGUGAAAUCUUGCGGCUUAACCGCAAGGCUGCCUUCUAAACUGUCAGGCUAGAGCACAGUAGAGGCAGGUGGAAUUCCCGGUGUAGCGGUGGAAUGCGUAGAUAUCGGAAGGAACAUCAGUGGCGAAAGCGGCUUCCUGGACCAGUACCGACGUCAGGCACGAAAGCGUGGGGAGCAAACAGG